AGAGCAUGGGAGGAGUGGGGAUGGCAAGCCCUCUCACUUCUGAGAACUUCAGACGUCAGGCAGCUUGCUCAGGAAGCUUUAUGAGUUUCCUCGCAAGUCAGCAGUGCCAACGACUGUUUGCUUUUGGCCUGUAGAAAGCCAGUGGUUUUUCUUAUGUUAUGAAGUAGAGAAAUCCGUUUGUUCAUACUUUCCUCUGUGUGUGUGUGUGUGUGUGUGUGUGUGUGUGUGUGUGUGUGUGUAAACAUAAUGCGGGUUUUGUGCCUUGACAACCUCCCCAUGUGAGGUUUGUAAAUAGUGUCCUGUGACUUCACCUCAAGUUGUAAUAAACAUACAAAAUGGUGUCCUGAGUGAUUCUUCAAAUUUCUUUUCCAGAAAAGAAUUGAUGAAUUGGGGGAAGGGGCAGGGGUCUGAAAAAUCAGUUUAAAGUCUCUCUAUUAAAGUAUGUAAUGGGUAAUGUCUGCUUCUCCUAUUUCCUUCCAGUGUUGUAUAUAUUUUGACUAUUUAUUAGAUUAGAAAGUCAUGUUUCACUCGUCAACUGAGCCAAAUGUCUCUGUGCAAUUGUGUUCCCUUUACCUUUCUUUGUAAAAUAUUGUACAGCAUAAAUGAGUAAAAAAAAAAAAAUCACUGUUUUUCCAAACUUCUCAUAAUUAAGGAUUUGUAAAUACCAUAGGUUCUUCUUCUGUGUAAUGUGCCCUACUGUUUCAUAAUGCUGUAACUUGUAGAGAUGUUGUAUAUUUAUUUUCCGCUUAUUUAAAUGUCUUAAGUUCUUGAAAGUGUUGACAUCCCUAUCCCUGACAGCCCUGCCAUGCCAUGAAUUGCUUCAGCUCCUGAUAAAGGAGGGGUAGUGGCUGGUUCUCUUCCCACAAGGCGGCUUCUGCUUUGGCUUCUGGCAUUCAGUGCUUGGGUUCUGCCGCCUUUCUGAUGAAAUGAGUGUUUUGCUGCCGGUGAGAUACCCUAAGAUGCUAGCCUGGAAGAUUGGACUCUAAGAAAAUACCCAUCAAACCCAUUUUUGAAGCAGCUGGCUUCUGAGAAAAAUCAGACUCACCAGUAAGUUGGCCACAUCUUUAGAGAAGUAUUAGCAGCAGAUGGGGAAGAAUUUUUUUUUCCUUAAAUUGAAAGAGUAUCUUUGACAACUCAGUGUUGAGAGAAAUAUUAUCCUGCUGCCUCUUGAGGUACUGCUGAAUGGCUGUCCUGGGUAAGAGAAGGGCUGGUGGGACCUGUUUCUAGAGCAUUUGCCAAGGCCACUUGUGUCACCAGGACACUCGCUGGCUACCGUCCCCACCUGCUGUGUGCUUCCUAGUUUGAGGUCUGUGGACUGAACUUACCUAUACCAUUCGGCUCCCUUCCCGUUCACUGCUUUAGGCCAGCCCACUCCUGCUUCCCUCUACAGAGGUUCUGGCACCCACGUCAAGAUGGCUCACUGAAGCUCUAGAGCCAUGUGACUUCAUGGAAAUGGUUUUGUCUUCCUGCUGAUUCAGCCUGGUGCCUGUGUGUGUCCAUCCGCUCAGCACGUCUGCAUGCGGGUCCUGUCCACACGUGUCGCUAAAUCGGCGGGGAAUUGCCUCUCAAACAGCGUUGCACAAAGCACCCUCAAGUUCCCAGCAAAGUACUUGAUCUCUUUCAAAUGUGUGUUAUUGUCUAGGUUCUGUGACCACUGGUUUCUGUACCCAGACCUGUCAGGUAUCCUUUAGUGAACAGCACUGAUCUCUGUAUAGUCCCCAUCACUAAUGUCAGAACCCAGCGUAUGUAGCAUUUGUAUUGCAGUUUCCCUGGCUUCCUUUACGUUUUGCACUGAUGAAUUUUGACAGGGUAAUUGCCACUGUACCUGUGCAAUACUGCUGUAAAUAACUGCAGAUUUUUUUAAGAAACUCAAUCUUUUAUGUUCUUAAUGAAUUUUAUAUAAAUAAAACUUGCGACUAGCUUUC
rnacentral:lncRNA from 1 species